rnacentral:rRNA from 1 species
CACGUAGGGUGCAAGCGUUGUCCGGAAUCAUUGGGCGUAAAGAGCUCGUAGGCGGCUUAGUAAGUCGGGUGUGAAAACCCCAGGCUCAACCUGGGGACGCCACCCGAUACUGCUAUAGCUAGAGUCCAGUAGGGGAGUGUGGAAUUCCCAGUGUAGCGGUGAAAUGCGCAGAUAUUGGGAGGAACACCAGCGGCGAAGGCGGCACUCUGGGCUGGUACUGACACUGAGGAGCGAAAGCGUGGGUAGCGAACAGG